rnacentral:misc_RNA from 1 species
AAGUCGUAACAAGGUUUCCGUAAGUGAACCUGCGGAAGGAUCAUUAACACGUAUCCAACGUUAAACAACCCUGUGAACUUUAAGCCUACUCUUGCAGCCCAUGAGGAACAGCAAUCCCGAUUGCCAAACAGUUUUGAUUCGGGACCUCUGUCCAAAAGGAGUUGCAAUUGAGUGGUAGAUGCAGUGGCAAAGCAGUUGAAUGACAGUGUCACUGACUGUGUAAGGAUAACGCCUCACGGUUGCCAGAGGUCGAUCACCGACCGGCAGACAUGUCGCGCCCCUUAAUCACUAGAAAAUGCCCCGCCUGGUAACGCGCUAGGUAAAAAAAACAGUUAACAAUGGAUAUCUUGGUUCUC